CCCGGCCCAUAAAUAAUAGAGUUUGCAGGCCCAACAGAUAACAUGGCUCGGCCCGGUGGCUGCUCUGCUCCUCCCCGAGCCGUCAUUCACUGGUCCAGCCAGGCCCCCGUGUCACUCUCUCUCUCUCUCUCUCUCUCUCUCGCCGGCCGAUGCUAUUGCUCUCGGCCCAAUGCGCCGGCUGCGCUCACAUUGCCACUCUCGUCUCCCCUCCCUCAGAUUCCUUCGUUACCCUCCCGCCAAAACCCCAUCUCCCGCCUCUCUCUUUUCCCUCCAGGGACCCCUCGUUUCUCAAACCAAACGCUCCGUCCUACUGCUACUGUUUUCGUUUUGCAGCUCUAGCUCGAACUCCAACUCCAACUUCCGGCAUUGACGCUCCGAGCUUAUUUGAUUCUCUCUCCCAGUUUUCCCCUCAUUCCGGUGAUGCCCGAUUCCGCAAUUGGAAUUGGAGCGCGUAUAAUCACAGUCGGGUCUUUUUUUUCUUUUUUUUUAACAGUCGGGUUAUCAAAGAUGAUCGAGUGCCAAGGUUACGCCUCGAAGGGAUUUUCUGGUAGAGACAAUGAAUCUGUUCAACUGCAGAGAAACUGCAUUUGCGUUCUUUGAGUUCUGUUUCCGGGACCGUCCCGAGGACCCGCCGCUCAUGGUUUAGUGGCUGAUGGCCUCCGCUUCCUUGCGCAAGAUGCUGUCUUUUGGGUUAUCAGUAGGUUCGGUUUGUCUAGGCUAAGGAAUUCAUGAAAUUCAUGUGAGAGAAGCACUGCCUCUUCGAAUCUGAUUUUUCGGUUCUUGAUACACUCAUGAGAGCGUUUCUAAAGGCUGCCCUGCUCUCUGAGGCGCUGGAUAUUUUGAGUUGAAUGAGGGAGGUAUAGGUAAGGCCCAGUGUGUCGGCCACAGCAGUUUCUCUUCAAGCUGUGCUGAGGAUUGGUGAUUGUGGCAAUGUUUGGAAGUUGUCCAGGGACAUGAUUCAUAUGGGCCACUUGCCCAUCAAAUCCCAAUUUUGAGGCAUUGACGUUUGGGUUUUGUAGAAAAGGGCACAUUGAAAUAGGAGAGAGUCUGCACCAUGUAAUGGUGAAGUUCAGGUGCAAGCCUGAUGUUUUUACGUACAAGAAUUUGAUCAAAGCAUAUUGUAUGGGUGGGAAAACUGUAAAAGGACUUGAACUGAUGCAUUUGAUGAUUUUGCGGGCUGCAAGCCCAACCGUGCUACCUUCAGUAUUAUUACUCCUGCCUUAUGUAAAGAGGGGAAUAUAGUAAGAGCCAGGAUUCUGUUUGAUGGGAUUGUGGAGAGGGUCUCUCUCCAAAUACUUUCAUUUAUAACAUUCUCAUGGAUGGAUAUGUUAAGGCGAGGGACGUGCAUCAGGCUGACAUGCUUUACACAGAUAUGACAGCAAGGGCGUGCCUCCUGAUUGUGUUGCUUUUAAUAUCUUGGUUUUGGGUCAUAACAAGCAUGGAAGAGAAGAAGAUGUGGUAGGUUGUUGAAAGAACCAUCUCUGUAUGGUUUGGUCCAAGAUUUUUCCCUGUAUGAUUUAUCAGUAGCCGAGUUAUGCUGGGCUGGUCGAUUGGAGGAUGCCACAAAAUUUUUAAAGAUAUGCUCGAGAAAGGAAUAGGUGUGAGCUUGUUUGACUUCAACUCAAUCAAUGCUGGUUAUAGCAAGGGCAGGGUUGCCUCGACCUCUUUCAGCAAAGCCAUAUCUGGCUUUGCCAUUGUGGUUAUGCCACUCAUAAAGUCAAAGUGUUUUCUAAAAUUAAAAUUUUUUUCUGUUGUCCAUGCAUUAAUUACCUACGGAAGGGGAUUUUGGUCUUCCAAAUAUGAGCUUAUUCACAUAACCAAUUUCUGAAAUCUUAGCUUUCAGCUUUGCUUGCCAAUCAAUAAUAUAAGUUUAUUAUUGUCUCAAUUAUUGAAUUAAACCAAACAGAACGUCUACAUCAGAAGGAGGAAAAUGCUGCAGCCAUUUCUGUGUUUGCACCAGUUAUAUCAUCCUCAGGUUCCCUAUCGCCAAAAAGAGCUUGCGUCUACUCUUCCGGACUCUGGCACACUCUUCCCUGCAAAACCAGCAUAAGAUGUAACUGCUAUGAGUUUGGAAAGAAACCAAAAGAAGGCGUCUGUAAUUGGGCUGGUGAAAUCUUGGCUGUAAAAAGUUAGGCCUGUUACUGGUUAUGCUGAGCGUCAGUGAUUGCUUUCAUGGCUUAGAAGAGCAACCCAAAUUGAGAUUUCUUUUUCGACUAGGAUAGUCUUUAAGGCUUUCUGGCAUGGAUAACUAUUAAAGCAGAAAGUGAAGAUGCUUAUGCCCACCGAUAAUAUAUGAUUAGAUAUUCUGUGGUUAGAAGCAUGGGUAGUGGUAACAUUAUUUUAUUUGUUGGUAGAAAUACUUUUUGAAACUUCAUCUUUGAUGCUUAACAAUCUCUGAACUUAUUCUAUGGUCAAGCAAAAUAGCAAGUUAUCUAUUCAGAACUUUAAACUUGAAGAUUUUUAAGAUAGAUUAUUUUGAUGCUACCACUUAUAUAUAUAUAUAUAUUUUAGUGAGCAUAUAAAGGGACUAGGUUAGUGAUGCAAAAGAUUCUACUUGCAGGUACAUACAAGGCAUCCUGAUGGUGUUUUUUCAGUUGGAUGAGAAUUGGCUGAGUUUUUAUGGCCUCGCUCAAUCUGUGGACACUUGGUCAUGGAUUAUUUUGUCCAGUCUAUUUUACAAAUUAUAUAGUUAUCUUUAAUAAAGAUUGUUAACGAGGUUUGGAGGAUUAGGUCUCUAUUGUUUGUCCAGAUCUUGACUUCUAGCUUGAUAGAUGAAGGUGAUUUGCUUUUAAAUUAUUUUGUAGUAUCCCCAUAUGCAUAUGGUGUGACUGUAGCCUCUGUUAAUGUUGUGACUCUAUUUACUGCUAAAUUGGAUUAUGAGAACAGAAUUUGUGGAUGAUGUAGAGGGAAAUUCCUCAUUUAGAGGACUAAGGCACUCAUUGAGAGGACUAAGGCAGUGAUCAAAUAUAGGAACAGCAAUAAUUUAAAUUUCCAUGAUUUUUUAUGUCUUGUUCGAGAAUUUCUCCACUUAUAUGAUUGAGAGUCUUAGGCAGAUAUGAAUAUUUUUCACUAGUUUUUUCAUCUCUCUAGUCCCUUGUUUUAACUGUCAUAGGAGCUCUUUGUUGUAUUGCCGAGGUGAUACUCUUCUUUGAGGAUGAGAACACAUACGAGAGAGUGAAUCACAAUGAACUCCUAAAAGUGACGAUGAAACUAACAUUUGGAAAGGGAGAAAAUAUCCAAGUUUCGAAUAAAGAACACUACAUGGCUUGCAUCUUCAUUGGCAUGCAAUUUGAUUCUUAACAUAUUUCUUUUUUCCAUAUCCUCUUUAGAUUUGCAAAAUAAUACAUCUUUAGCUUGUUUUCUCCAUUGGGUUCUCUACUGCACUUAGUUUGCUGAUUUUUUGAAUGCAUGGAGGACUUGUUCUGUUUGUUUGGCUGUGGGUACUUGGAUUUAUUGUAUUUAUAAUAGCACUUUUCAGUCCAUUAGAGAGGGAAAAGGUUUGGUACUGGGAUACCUAGUGAGCUGCUUAAACUUGCAAUAUCUAGCAGGGACUUUGAUAACUGGUGCAGAUCAUGCAAUAAGUCUACAAAUAGCUGAGGUUCUUUUUGGACUGAGGGAUUAUGCCAGACAUUCAAAUUAGACUCCUAACAAUACACCUGCCCUUCCCGGUAGUGUCUCCUCGCAGGAGUUUUCUUGGAUGAUGAUUGUAAUGGCUAAUAGAUACUUGUUUAGUGCUAACCAUGUGACGUAAAAGCCUUUCAUUUUUCCUACCAUAUAGGAGAAGGUUAAGGUGCUCGAGAGUCUUGCAGCCAGUUAUGGAAUCAAAAUCUUGAUAGGAUCUUUGACAGGUCCUUUUUAUUUAUUUAUUUUUCCUUGCAGAAAGUCUAGACAGUUCUGAACUUUAGUCCAUUAAUGUUAAAUCCUAUUUGACAAGUCAUAAGAAUGUCUCUGCUGCAUGACACAAUAUGAUCUCAAUCGCCGUUUUUCCCGCACCGCCAUCCCUUGUUCAUUUGCUCAAGGAAAGAUCUAGUGAAUACUCAUUAAUUUUCGUCGGGGAAAUUGUGGAGAUGUUGUCUAUCAUAAAUCACCCAGAUGUAGAUUGUCCACUGUGCUGUGUGCCUUGACUCCUGAAGACGAGGAGAAGACUUUGCCUUUUAUGAAGCUGAUGUCUUGUUUCUAUUGUUUUGACAGUGAGUGCAUUAUUAGGUGGUGGAAUUGGCUUCGGAAAGAAGAUCGUGAUGGUAACAUGGACGACCCAAAAGAGCCAGAAGAUAGUAAGGGAAUUGCCCAGUUUUUGGUAGAACUUUUCAAGCGAAGGAUUUAGAGUAUGUUCUUGACUUGGUCGGCUCUCGUUCCUUCAAAUUGGUGCGUCCAUAUAUUAGCCACAGCAUUAGAGAUAGGCAAAUGUCAAUUUGGCCCAUGACUAUGCAGAUCAUGGAAACAUGAGAAGAAACAAUCGGUUGGGUUUAAAGCAAUAUUGAUGAAUAGAGUUGUUAUGUGUACUUUGAUUUUUGAGCAUAUCGAGGGCUUAUCUCUAUUUAGUGCUCCAAUAGCCAAAGUUUGAAAUGCGUUGGAGAAAAUGUCAAAGAGGCCACUUUGGAAUAAAUGGACAAAACUGUUAGGUUGCGGGGCGUUCAAUGUCAGCUCUUCAAUGAUAACGUACAACUUUUACGUGAUUGGGGAAAGAGUCCGUGAUGUCAUUUGAUCUUUGGGGCUGAUGAUGAUGAGUUGAUUAUGUUGUUGGAUAAAGCACUACAAAAAGCAAUUGAAAAAGUGAUCAUAGUAACUGCAAAUUAACCUCAGGUUUUUUGUAAGUACAUCUGGUCUGCUACUUUGACUCUUGUAAUGUGAUACAUUUGAAUGCUUUAACUUCUAAUUUAGGGGGUUUAAAGAAGGAUGAAGGCACUGCUGGAUUAAAGUUUUAGGAGAUCACUCUUGGAUUUUUCAUGAAAGUUUAUGGGCAUCACCACCGUCCCCGAUUUCUUUGAUCUUGUUCCCUGUGUAUUCUUAGUUUUCAAACCACAGGAAGAAACAGCAUUGCGAUGCCAAACUGCUUUCACAAUACAUGACGUUGAAACUCAAAAGUUCCUGGCUGCUUUCUCGGGUUGGUUGAGCUCAAGUGUACUGUGUACGUAGAGGGAGACUGAUGGUCCUUAAUUUGGCCGGGCUCGAUACAAACUAAAAGAUGGGAAUUGUGGGUGGUUUUUGUCAGUAGGGAUGGCUGGCAGUCAGGCAAGCAGGGGAAUUGUGUUGGUGGGAGGGAACAGGGCCCUUUCUAUUGAUUUGCUUUAGGAAUGCUCCAUUUUUAUUAAAUUAUUAUUAGAAGGAGCGGUGGCCUCCGACGAGCAAAUGUCUUUUAGUUGAUUAAUUCAUUAUGAGUUAAGUUGGUCCUUCAAGGAGUAAAAUUCUCCUAAUGUGAAAAUUUUCUAUUCACAAGGUUCGAAUAAAUUUUAUUUAAAAAAGAAUAAGUGUCAAACAGUUUGAAUCAAUUUACAUUGGUAUAUAUUCCCCACUUGGUUUUCUUUCA